GAUAUGGACCAUGAUGAGAGCAUAGCAUUCGUCCUAUGUUUAGAUACAAGAUUGCGGAUCAAUGAACGGAUCCACUUGGCUGCUUGAGCCAAAAAAAAGGCAAGAUUGUUGAUGGGGAUCCACGCACCUGCUUGCAGAUCGAGUUCAAUUGCGCCGGGACCUCAAGUGCAUAACUUCUAGCGUAUACAUUGUCGAGUUUCGGAGGAGAUGGCUGCGGCUCCCGCGUUCGUCUCGAUCAUGGCCUCCAUUGUGCCCCUCCUGAGGUGCUUACUCUCCUUUGAUAGACCGGAGGUGGUCUAGUGCCAUCCUCAGCUUCGCCAACCUCAGAUCUGAGGUGAAGACGGUGAACGAGGUCAUCCACGGAGAUCGGCUCCGGUUGUCAACCCCUUGACGGCAAGGAGUCGAACGCCCUUCUUCAACUCAGCCUUGUCUGAUCGGUUCCCCCCUCCUCGAUGGCAACUUCUCCUCUGUGGCCUCUUUGCCACCCCAGCAGCAGAAUCACCGCCCACCAUCUAGAUGAAAGCACCCUGAGUUUGAUCGAUCUUUACCUUCCACUUGUCCAAAUCAACUUUUGUGGCUUGCCCUUUUGUGUUGAAUUUUGAACGGGUCUUGGUUCCCAGAGGUAAUCACUGGUCUAAUCCAAUCAAGGAGGCCCCAACGGCCUCGGUUUGAUUAUUUUGGGAUUGAACUAUUAAGGAUUAGGUUCGAUUGUUCGAACUAGGGGCUAUGAUCUGUGCUGGGAUCUUGCGCACGGAUAUCGGCCCAAUACACCCUGCUACUCUACUUUUUUUAAUAGCAUAGUAGAUUUUCAUCAUGGAUUUAGGGCAAGGUGCAACCUCUUUCCCCCUUCUCAGCAUUGGCUAGGGUCUGUGAUGAAAGAUUGUUAACAACUCAUGAGCAAAUCUUUCGAUUCAAGAUGGCAAAUGACAUAUGGAUUUGUUUUUA